AACGAACGCUGGCGGCAUGCCUAACACAUGCAAGUCGAACGAGACCUUCGGGUCUAGUGGCGCACGGGUGCGUAACGCGUGGGAACCUGCCCUUAGGUUCGGAAUAACUCCCCGAAAGGGGUGCUAAUACCGGAUAAUGUCUUCGGACCAAAGAUUUAUCGCCUUUGGAUGGGCCCGCGUUGGAUUAGCUAGUUGGUAGGGUAAAAGCCUACCAAGGCGACGAUCAAUAGCUGGUCUGAGAGGAUGAUCAGCCACACUGGGACUGAGACACGGCCCAGACUCCUACGGGAGGCAGCAGUGGGGAAUAUUGGACAAUGGGCGAAAGCCUGACCCAGCAAUGCCGCGUGAGUGAUGAAGGUCUUAGGGUUGUAAAGCUCUUUUACCCGGGAUGAUAAUGACAGUACCGGGAGAAUAAGCUCCGGCUAACUCCGUG
rnacentral:rRNA from 1 species